rnacentral:rRNA from 1 species
GACGAACGCUGGCGGCGUGCUUAACACAUGCAAGUCGAACGGAAAGGCCCUGCUUUUGUGGGGUUCUCGAGUGGCGAACGGGUGAGUAACACGUGAGUAACCUGCCCUUGACUUUCGGAUAACUUCAGGUAACUGGGGCUACUACCGUAUAGGAUCUCCUGCUGCAUUGUGGGGGUUGGAUCGUUUCGGCGGGUGGGGAUGGACUGGCGGCUUAUGAGCUUGUUGGUUGGGUAGUGGCUUACCAAGGCUUUGACGGGUAGGCGGCCUGAGAGGGUGACCGGCGACAUGGGGACUGAGAGACGGCGCAGACUCGUACGGGAGGCAGCAGGGGGGAAUAUUGCACAAUGGGAGGAAGCCUGAGGCAGCAACGCCGCGUGCGGGAUGACGGCCUGCGGGGUGUAAACCGCUUUCGCCUGUGACGAAGCGUGAGUGACGGUAAUGGGUAAAGAAGCACCGGCUAACUACGUG